UGGGGAAUAUUGCGCAAUGGGGGGAACCCUGACGCAGCCAUGCCGCGUGAAUGAAGAAGGCCUUCGGGUUGUAAAGUUCUUUCGGUAUUGAGGAAGGUUGAUGUGUUAAUAGCACAUCAAAUUGACGUUAAAUACAGAAGAAGCACCGGCUAACUCCGUGCCAGCAGCCGCGGUAAUACGGAGGGUGCGAGCGUUAAUCGGAAUAACUGGGCGUAAAGGGCACGCAGGCGGUUAUUUAAGUGAGGUGUGAAAGCCCUGGGCUUAACCUAGGAAUUGCAUUUCAGACUGGGUAACUAGAGUACUUUAGGGAGGGGUAGAAUUCCACGUGUAGCGGUGAAAUGCGUAGAGAUGUGGAGGAAUACCGAAGGCGAAGGCAGCCCCUUGGGAAUGUACUGACGCUCAUGUGCGAAAGCGUGGGGAGCAAACAGGAUUAGAUACCCUGGUAGUCCACGCUGUAAACGCUGUCGAUUUGGGGAUUGGGCUUAGAGCUUGGUGCCCGUAGCUAACGUGAUAAAUCGACCGCCUGGGGAGUACGGCCGCAAGGUU
rnacentral:rRNA from 1 species